rnacentral:rRNA from 1 species
GACGAACGCUGGCGGCGUGCCUAACACAUGCAAGUCGAACGGAGUUAAGUGCUUCGGUAUUUAACUUAGUGGCGGACGGGUGAGUAACGCGUGAGCAACCUGCCUGAUAGAGGGGAAUAACGUCUGGAAACGGACGCUAAUACCGCAUAAAGCAUGAGGGGCGCAUGUUUUUCAUGCCAAAGAUUUAUCGCUAACAGAUGGGCUCGCGUCCGAUUAGGUAGUUGGUGGGGUAACAGCCUACCAAGGCAACGAUCAGUAGCCGGCUUGAGAGAGUGUACGGCCACAUUGGGACUGAGACACGGCCCAG